rnacentral:rRNA from 1 species
AACGAACGCUGGCGGCAUGCCUAACACAUGCAAGUCGAACGAGACCUUCGGGUCUAGUGGCGCACGGGUGCGUAACGCGUGGGAACCUGCCCUUAGGUUCGGAAUAACUCCCCGAAAGGGGUGCUAAUACCGGAUAAUGUCUUCGGACCAAAGAUUUAUCGCCUUUGGAUGGGCCCGCGUUGGAUUAGCUAGUUGGUAGGGUAAAAGCCUACCAAGGCGACGAUCCAUAGCUGGUCUGAGAGGAUGAUCAGCCACACUGGGACUGAGACACGGCCCAGACUCCUACGGGAGGCAGCAGUGGGGAAUAUUGGACAGUGGGCGAAAGCCUGAUCCAGCAAUGCCGCGUGAGUGAUGAAGGCCUUAGGGUUGUAAAGCUCUUUUAACCGGGAUGAUAAUGACGGUACCGGGAGAAUAAGCGCCGGCUAACUCCGUG